AUAAAAGAUAAGAAUUUUUGAUAUAUCAAAAUAAAUAUUCAACAAGAAUCUGAAACAUCAAAUAUGAAGUAUCUCGAGGUGCUCAUCUAUGUCCAGAACCAAAAACUAAAGAAAACAAGCCAAGUUUGUCCCAAAUAACAAAACUAUCAAAAAUACAGAGGGCAAAAAAGAAACAGCAGACAUAACAAGUUAGAAAUGGGAUCAAGAUCAAGCAUCUGCAAUGGUAACCUCAACCUCGACGCCAGGUUCGAUGGUGAUAGAGGUAAUCUGUUUAACAACAUCUGGGGAACUGUAGAGGUCGAUGACUCUCUUGUGCACACGGAGUUCAAAUCUAUCCCAGGUGUUGGUACCUGUAACAAGAAGUAAUAUCAUGAACACAAGACAGAAAAUUAUUCAUUAAAUAAGAAAAUUCAGAGAAAACUACACUUCAAAAACACUAUAACUAAAUUCCUAAGAAGCAUGUUAGCAGCACAAAAUUCAAGUGAGAAAAAGGAAAAUGACGAUGCCAUGACUUGAGAUAAAACCAGAAAACAUAGCACAAUCAAGCAUUCAGCACAGAUGUUUGGCAUACACAAAUACAUAUAAAACCAAUAGCAUUGUAACAAAAUGCAAAAGCGGAACCCUGAAACCCGAGCACAUAGAAGAGAAUCAACAGUGAGAUAAAUAAGUACACGUAGAACAUUUAAAGAUCAAUUAACUCCAACCCGUAGUUUAGUCCUUCAAAAUUUGUUCAGACACCUUCUCUGAUGCAAGUUAUCGUAAACCAUUCAAAAAAACUGAUUUAAAAAGAUUUAGACAUAUUGAUGUCUUAUAAAAACAAAGUUCGAAAACAUAAACUUUCCUUUUAUACUCUUUACACGUAUGCCAAUUAAGGUUUUAGGAUAAUUAACAUCCAAAAGAUAGAAAAAAACGUAGCCAACAAAACAGUAAAAACUACAAACCAAUAGACGGAGAAGCAAACUAGUGAAGGGGAUUGCAAAAACUACAAAUAAACAAAAGUUGCCCAUUUAUGAUUGUUGAGAGAACAAACCAAUACACAGCCGAAUAACACUUGCGUACCAUUAAGGUACCGCUGUUAUAUAACAUUGGUGAAUUAGAGUGUGCCACAAGUGCUAUCCAUACACAGCCAUAAUAAAAUUACAAUUACAACAGUAAUUUGAAUCUAAAUUUCCAUAAGCAAGCUAGUUUCAGGGCUCAUUUGUAAGCCAUAUUAGGAGCUUAGGAAAAUACAAAUAAGCUUUAACAGCUUAUAUAUCUACCAUGAAUUAUAAGGCUUUGAUAAAUUCUUAUGCUAUAAAAUAAUACAAAUACUCUCUAAAUAACCUCUUUCAAUAGUUCCAUGUUCCUAACCUAUUAGCCAUUGACUACCUUUCAUCACAUAAUCAUAAAAUCUCUAUUAGUUAACGAAAAGUGACAAAUUAUAAAAAGAGUGAAAUGAAAUACCUUCUCCACAAGGGGUCUUCCUAGUAGUGAUAUGAAGAACCUUAGUAGGCAUCCUAACAGGACCCUUCACUCUAAGAUGCUUAUCCUUAGCACCACGAACCAAAUCGGCACAAACUAAUAACAACAAGUCAAAAACAAAAAGUCAGUGUUGUUGUGAAAGCAACAUAAACAUAAAGGAAAGAUUAACAGAACGUACCCUUCUCGAGAUUUUUGACAUGCUUGGAGGAAAGGGUGAUCCUAAUCUUAUGGAUCUGUUCCUGAGAUUCCUCCAAACCAGGCUUGGUGGGUUUCAUCGCAGCGUACGCCAUUUUGUUUGUUCAGAGUAUACACACUGAAUGUGAAUAUGUAUGUACUAGAGCGCCGCAG
rnacentral:lncRNA from 1 species